UACGGAGGGUACAAGCAUUAAUCGGAUUUACUGGGCGUAAAGGGUGCGUAGGCGGAUGGGUAAGUCAGAUGUGAAAUUCCGGUACUCAAUAUCGGAGCUGCAUUUGAAACUCCCCUUCUGGAGGAUAGACGGAGAGAACGGAAUUCCAUGUGUAGCGGUGAAAUGCGUAGAUAUAUGGAAGAACACCUGUGGCGUAAGCGGUUCUCUAGUUUAUUUCUGACGCUGAGGCACGAGAGUGUGGGGAGCAAACAGG
rnacentral:rRNA from 1 species